GAUGAACGCUGGCGGCGUGCCUAAUACAUGCAAGUCGAGCGAAUGGAUUAAGAGCUUGCUCUUAUGAAGUUAGCGGCGGACGGGUGAGUAACACGUGGGUAACCUGCCCAUAAGACUGGGAUAACUCCGGGAAACCGGGGCUAAUACCGGAUAACAUUUUGAACCGCAUGGUUCGAAAUUGAAAGGCGGCUUCGGCUGUCACUUAUGGAUGGACCCGCGUCGCAUUAGCUAGUUGGUGAGGUAACGGCUCACCAAGGCAACGAUGCGUAGCCGGCCUGAGAGGGGGAUCGGCCAAACUGGGACUGAGACGCGGCCCAGACUCCUACGGGAGGCGGCAGUAGGGAAUCUUCCGCAAUGGACGAAAGUCUGACGGAGCAACGCCGCGUGAGUGAUGAAGGCUUUCGGGUCGUAAAACUCUGUUGUUAGGGAAGAACAAGUGCUAGUUGAAGAAGCUGGCACCUUGACGGUACCUAACCAGAAAGCCACGGCUAACUACGUGCCAGCAGCCGCCGUAA
rnacentral:rRNA from 1 species